rnacentral:rRNA from 1 species
CCUGCAUGAAGUUGGAAUCGCUAGUAAUCGCGGAUCAGCAUGCCGCGGUGAAUACGUUCCCGGGCCUUGUACACACCGCCCGUCACACCAUGAGAGUCGGGAACACCCGAAGUCCGUAGCCUGACCGCAAGGGGGGCGCGGCCGAAGGUGGGUUCGAUAAUUGGGGUGAAGUCGUAACAAGGUAAC